rnacentral:rRNA from 1 species
GUGGAUUAGAUACCCUGGUAGUCCACGCUGUAAACGAUGUUCACUAGGUGUUGGGGGUAUUGACCCUCUCAGUGCCGUAGCUAACGCAUUAAGUGAACCGCCUGGGAAGUACGGUCGCAAGACUAAAACUCAAAGGAAUUGACGGGGGCCCGCACAAGCGGUGGAGCAUGUGGUUUAAUUCGAUGCAACGCGAAGAACCUUACCUGGGCUUGACAUCCCAAGAAUCCCCUGGAAACAGGGGAGUGCCCUUCGGGGAGCUUGGAGACAGGUGCUGCACGGCCGUCGACAACU